UACGGAGGGUGCAAGCGUUACUCGGAAUCACUGGGCGUAAAGAGUGCGCAGGCGGGCUUGUAAGUCAGAUGUGAAAUCCUGUAGCUUAACUACAGAACUGCAUUUGAAACUAUGAGUCUAGAGUGUGGGAGAGGUAGGUGGAAUUCUUGGUGUAGGGGUAAAAUCCGUAGAUAUCAAGAGGAAUACUCAUUGCGAAGGCGACCUGCUAGAACAUAACUGACGCUGAUGCGCGAAAGCGUGGGUAUCGAACAGG
rnacentral:rRNA from 1 species